GACAGAGGAAACUCAUCAGCAAGAGUUUGUACAGAGGGCUCAUCACUCCCAGACCCUGAAAAGAUCUGAGAUUGGAUUCUACCUCUAUCCUAACGGGGCUUUCCCCAAGGCGGAUAGGGAGAGUUCCCAGAAAGUGGGGUUCAUGCACAGACAAACCGGACAGGUGAGGGAGACAAAAGCAACACAUGACUAUAAUAAACUACUUUAUUCACAAAAUACAAUAAGGAGGUUUUUUUCACCAGAUCCCUCUAUUUUGAAGCCUCUAAAGAAAAUAAAUUUCAUGUUAUGAGCUCUGUAGAGUUAUCUUCUUUAGGCUUUAUAGGAUUGCUUAUUUUUUUAAGAACCAGUCUCCCUUUAU
rnacentral:lncRNA from 1 species